rnacentral:rRNA from 1 species
CGCAGCUUAACAUGCAGUCGAACGGCAGCACGGGAGCAAUCCUGGUGGCGAGUGGCGAACGGGUGAGUAAUAUAUCGGAACGUGCCCAGUCGUGGGGGAUAACGCAGCGAAAGCUGUGCUAAUACCGCAUACGAUCUACGGAUGAAAGCGGGGGAUCGCAAGACCUCGCGCGAUUGGAGCGGCCGAUAUCAGAUUAGCUAGUUGGUGGGGUAAAGGCCCACCAAGGCGACGAUCUGUAGCUGGUCUGAGAGGACGACCAGCCACACUGGAACUGAGACACGGUCCAGACUCCUACGGGAGGCAGCAGUGGGGAAUUUUGGACAAUGGGCGCAAGCCUGAUCCAGCAAUGCCGCGUGCAGGAUGAAGGCCUUCGGGUUGUAAACUGCUUUUGUACGGAACGAAACGGUCCUUUCUAAUACAAGGGGCUAAUGACGGUACCGUAAGAAUAAGCACCGGCUAACUACGUGCCAGCAGCCGCGGUAAUACGUAGGGUGCGAGCGUUAAUCGGAAUUACUGGGCGUAAAGCGUGCGCAGGCGGUUAUGUAAGACAGAUGUGAAAUCCCCGGGCUCAACCUGGGACCUGCAUUUGUGACUGCAUAGCUAGAGUACGGUAGAGGGGGAUGGAAUUCCGCGUGUAGCAGUGAAAUGCGUAGAUAUGCGGAGGAACACCGAUGGCGAAGGCAAUCCCCUGGACCUGUACUGACGCUCAUGCACGAAAGCGUGGGGAGCAAACAGGAUUAGAUACCCUGGUAGUCCACGCCCUAAACGAUGUCAACUGGUUGUUGGGUCUUC